UCCGUUUUGUCAACGGCAGUCUCUUUAGAGUGCUCGGCCGAACCGCUAGCAACUAAAGAUAAGGGUUGCGCUCGUUGCGGGACUUAACCCAACACCUCACGGCACGAGCUGACGACAGCCAUGCAGCACCUGUGCAGCGGCCCCGAAGGGAGGUAACAUUUCUGUUACUGUCCACUGCAUGUCAAGUCUGGGUAAGGUUCUUCGCGUUGCAUCGAAUUAAACCACAUGCUCCACUGCUUGUGCGGGUCCCCGUCAAUUCUUUUGAGUUUCACCCUUGCGAGCGUACUCCCCAGGCGGUAUACUUAUCGCGUUAGCUUCGGCACAACUAGGGUUGAUUCCAGUUACGCCAAGUAUACAUCGUUUACGGCAAGGACUAC
rnacentral:misc_RNA from 1 species